GAUGAACGCUGGCGGCGUGCUUAACACAUGCAAGUCGAACGAAGCGCUUAAACGGAUUUCUUCGGAAUGAAGUUUUUGCGACUGAGUGGCGGACGGGUGAGUAACGCGUGGGUAACCUGCCUCAUACAGGGGGAUAACAGUUAGAAAUGACUGCUAAUACCGCAUAACAACACUAGACGCAUGUCUAGAGUUUGAAAGAUGGUUCUGCUAUCACUCUUGGAUGGACCUGCGGUGCAUUAGCUAAUUGGUAAGGUAACGGCUUACCAAGGCAAUGAUGCAUAGCCGAGUUGAGAGACUGAUCGGCCACAUUGGGACUGAGACACGGCCCAA
rnacentral:rRNA from 1 species